GGUUUGUGGCUCAGUGGUAGAGUGCCCUACUAGCACAUGUGAAGCACUGGGUUCAAUCCUCAGUACCA
rnacentral:tRNA from 1 species